UUAAAUUGAAGAGUUUGAUCAUGGCUCAGAUUGAACGCUGGCGGCAGGCCUAACACAUGCAAGUCGAGCGGUAGCACAGAGAGCUUGCUCUCGGGUGACGAGCGGCGGACGGGUGAGUAAUGUCUGGGAAACUGCCUGAUGGAGGGGGAUAACUACUGGAAACGGUAGCUAAUACCGCAUAACGUCGCAAGACCAAA
rnacentral:rRNA from 1 species